CAAAUAACUAAAUUGCGAUCUGGAAGAUAACCACACCCCCAGUAUUGCUAUUGGUUUAGCAACUAGUGAAUUUUCCCUUUAAAAGUUAGGACAAAGGGAAGAUAGAGGGUAUGUAAAGGAGAAGGAAAAAAGAGGAGAGAGGAAUUGGAAGUUUGGGGACUCCAACUCGGACAUGCAGAGAAACCCAGGACAACAUCUGAG